AGAUGUGGAUGCAGUUUGUACAGAUUGUUCCAUGUACAAAUACUGUGGACCUUGCAGGGUUAGACCACAGAGUGGCCAUGACGAGUGUUACAUAUUUAUGCAGGACACACCUAGCGGUUUACAGGUUUUGCCAUCCUCCCAAG